CCUACGGGAGGCAGCAGUGAGGAAUAUUGGUCAAUGGGCGUAAGCCUGAACCAGCCAAGUCGCGUGAGGGAUGAAGGUUCUAUGGAUCGUACACCUCUUUUAUAAGGGAAUAAAGUGCGGGACGUGUCCCUUUUUGUAUGUACCUUAUGAAUAAGGAUCGGCUAACUCCGUGCCAGCAGCCGCGGUAAUACGGAGGGUCCGAGCGUUAUCCGGAUUUAUUGGGUUUAAAGGGUGCGUCGGCGGCCUUUUAAGUCAGCGGUGAAAGUCUGUGGCUCAACCAUAGAAUUGCCGUUGAAACUGGGAGGUUUGAGGAUGUUUGAGGCAGGGGGAAUGGGGGGGGUAGCGGUGAAAUGCUUAGAUAUCACGCAGAACCCGGAUGGCGAAGGCAGCCUGCCAAGCCAUGACGGACGCUGAUGCACGAAAGCGGGGGGAUCAAACAGGAUUAGAUACCCGAGUAGUC
rnacentral:rRNA from 1 species